AUUCUUUUGGGGGGAGGUUCAUGAACAUGAUGAUAAGGUAUUUACAACUAUGUAACAUAUGCCUCCCACAACCUUGUUAUAACCACAUUGGCACAUUAUCCAUCUAUUG
rfam:Mesocricetus auratus contig211188, whole genome shotgun sequence.